CGCACAUUGCGCCCCUUGGUAUUCCAUGGGGCAUGCCUGUUCGAGCGUCAUCUACACCCUCAAGCACUGCUUGGUGUUGGGCGUCUGUCCCGCCUUUGCGCGUGGACUCGCCCCAAAGUCAUUGGCAGCGGUCUCUGGCACCUCAACGCGCAGUACAAUGCGUCCGUUGGAGUGUCGUGGGCGCGACCAUAAGCUAUUACCGUCUUUGACCUCGGAUCAGGUAGGGAUACCCGCUGAACUUAA
rnacentral:misc_RNA from 1 species